rnacentral:rRNA from 1 species
UUUUGUAUACAUUGGGGGGUCGUGAAGACUCUAUCAGUUAGUAUUUGUUCUCGGAAGGGCUAUGAUUAAUGUUGAAGAAUCAGACAUAGUACGCUAAGGUUGUAUGUCUAAAGGGAAACAGCCCAGAACAAGUGUUAAUAAGGUUCCAAAAUUAUUAUUAAGUGAAACAAAGGUAGUUUAUAUCUUAAACGUCCAGGAAAUAGGCUUAGAAGCGGCCAUUUUUUAAAGACCUCGUAACAGAGCACUGGUUUUAUUCUAAUUUAUUAUAUAAAUUUAGAUCGAUAUAAGCACCGACGAUUCCACGGAUCUAAAUAAUAUACCGAAACCUUGUCCAUGUCUAACUAUAUAUACAUAACAGUAGAAGAAUGUGCAAAUAAUGUUUGUAAGUUAUAUAUAGUAUAAUGGGGUAGCGGAACAUUGGGCAAACCAUACCUUUUUUUUAUAAAAAAAGUAUUAGGUACCCCAAGUGAGAAUGCUGACAUGAGUAACGAUAAAGGGAAAAAUCCCUCGCCUAAAGCUUAUGGAAUUUAGUUAAAGUAACGGCCUCUAAGUUUAUAAAUAAAAACUUAUAUACACUAGCUAUAGAGUAUUUAAGUUAACCUAAAGGAUUAAACGAUGAGCAAAGCUAUAAAGGUACAAAUAAACAACAUUUAUAGACAGCUAAAUAAAUAAAAAGUAAUAACUGUGUUAAAGUGAUAAAUGUUCUGGAAAAUAGUAUCUUACUAUAAAAUUAUUUAUAUAAGUAGUUUUUUUUAUCUUUAGCUGUAAAGAAAAACUAAAGAAAAUAUAGAUUUUAAGUAUACCGUACCUAAAAACUACCACAAGUAAGCAAGUAGAG